rnacentral:rRNA from 1 species
UACGGAGGGAGCUAGCGUUGUUCGGAAUUACUGGGCGUAAAGCGCACGUAGGCGGCUAUUCAAGUCAGAGGUGAAAGCCCGGGGCUCAACCCCGGAACGGCCUUUGAAACUAGGUAGCUAGAAUCUUGGAGAGGUCAGUGGAAUUCCGAGUGUAGAGGUGAAAUUCGUAGAUAUUCGGAAGAACACCAGUGGCGAAGGCGACUGACUGGACAAGUAUUGACGCUGAGGUGCGAAAGCGUGGGGAGCAAACAGG